UACGUAGGGUGCAAGCGUUGUCCGGAAUCACUGGGCGUAAAGGGCGCGUAGGUGGUGGCUUAAGCGUGCGGUGAAAGCUCGGGGCUCAACCCCGAGUCGGCCGUGCGAACUGGGCUCACUGGAGCAUAGUAGAGGCAGGUGGAAUUCCGGGUGUAGCGGUGGAAUGCGUAGAGAUCCGGAAGAACACCGGUGGCGAAGGCGGCCUGCUGGGCUGUAUGGCUGACACUGAGCGCGACAGCGUGGGGAGCAAACAGG
rnacentral:rRNA from 1 species